rnacentral:lncRNA from 1 species
CUGCGUUCCUCUCGGGCUGGGGGCAGCCCCCAGUGAUAGUGUGGAUCACGCCCGCGACGGGUCGAUUCUGCUCCCGAGGCUCCUGAGGGGCCGGGUCGGCCGGACGCGGGUCUGCGGGGGGACGUCGGUCGUUCACAUAUCGACCGAGACGCCCUCGGCGGAUGAGAGCCUCGAUCUCGUCCCGAAGCUGGAAGCAGUCUUCGGUGUCGUGGCCGUGGUCCCGGUGGUACUCACAGUACGCCCGAGAGGGCCUCCUCCCAGGGAUCUUCUUCAUCUGUCUCGGGACCGGGAGGUCCUCCCGCCCCUUGAUUUCCAUGAGGAUCUGGGCCCGGGGAGUCAGGAGAGGAGUGUACCGGUUGAAACGUCGGGGCGGAGAACGAGGGCGUGGGGCGCCGUGGUUCCUCGCCGGCGACGGGCUUCUACGCCGACGUUGAGGCGUCGGGCUCCUCCUCUGGCGUGCCUCUUUUCGCCUCUUCUUCCCGAGCUUUGGAGGGAUCUCGGCGGCCUCCUUGCUCCGGUGGGCGGCCGCCUCCUCGGCGUCCGCAU